rnacentral:rRNA from 1 species
ACCCGCUGAACUUAAGCAUAUCAAUAAGCGGAGGAAAAGAAACUAACAAGGAUUCCCCUAGUAACGGCGAGUGAAGAGGGAAGAGCCCAAGAUUGAAAGCUGGCGUCUUUGGCGUCCGCAUUGUAAUCUCAAGAAGUGUUUUCCGCUUCGGACCAUGCCUAAGUCCCUUGGAAAAGGGCAUCAUAGAGGGUGAUAAUCCCGUACAUGGCAUGGAGCGCCCGAAGCUUUGUGAUACACUUUCUAAGAGUCGAGUUGUUUGGGAAUGCAGCUCAAAAUGGGUGGUAAAUGCCAUCUAAGGCUAAAUAUUGGGGAGAGACCGAUAGCGAACAAGUACAGUGAUGGAAAGAUGAAAAGAACUUUGAAAAGAGAGUUAAACAGUACGUGAAAUUGCCAAAAGGGAAGGGUAGGAGGUCAGAGAUGCGGUCUGGGAUUCAGCCUUGCUUUUGCUGGGUGUUUUUCUCAGAUUGCAGGCCAACGUCGGUUUUGGGCGCUGGAGAAGGGUGGAAGGAAUGUGGCACCUCUCGGGGUGUGUUAUAGCCUUCUACUGGAUACAGUGACCGAGACCGAGGACAGCAGCGUACUCGCAAGAGCGGGCCUUCGGGCACCUUUACGCUUA